rnacentral:rRNA from 1 species
CACGGGGUUGCGAGCGUUGUCCGGAAUCACUAGGCGUAAAGGGCAGGCAGGCGGAUCCAUAAGUUUAUCGUUUAAGGCGUCGGCUUAACCGGCGUAGGGCGGUAGAUACUGUGGAUCUGGAAUGCGGUUGGGGAAGACAGAAUUCCUGGUGUAGCGGUGGAAUGCGCAGAGAUCAGGAGGAACACCGAUGGCGAAGGCAGGUCUCUGGGCCACUACUGACGCUGAGAAGCGAAAGCAUGGGGAGCGAACAGGAUUAGAUACCCU